AUUAGAUACCCUGGUAGUCCACACGGUAAACGAUGAAUACUCGCUGUUUGCGAUAUACAGCAAGCGGCCAAGCGAAAGCAUUAAGUAUUCCACCUGGGGAGUACGCCGGCAACGGUGAAACUCAAAGGAAUUGACGGGGGCCCGCACAAGCGGAGGAACAUGUGGUUUAAUUCGAUGAUACGCGAGGAACCUUACCCGGGCUUAAAUUGCAGCGGAAUGAUGUGGAAACAUGUCAGUGAGCAAUCACCGCUGUGAAGGUGCUGCAUGGUUGUCGUCAGCUCGUGCCGUGAGGUGUCGGCUUAAGUGCCAUAACGAGCGCAACCCUUAUCUUCAGUUACUAACAGGUCAUGCUGAGGACUCUGGAGAGACUGCCGUCGUAAGAUGUGAGGAAGGUGGGGAUGACGUCAAAUCAGCACGGCCCUUACGUCCGGGGCUACACACGUGUUACAAUGGGAGGUACAGAAGGCCGCUACCUGGCGACAGGAUGCCAAUCCCCAAAACCUCUCUCAGUUCGGAUCGAAGUCUGCAACCCGACUUCGUGAAGCUGGAUUCGCUAGUAAUCGCGCAUCAGCCAUGGCGCGGUGAAUACGUUCCCGGGCCUUGUACACACCGCCCGUCAAGCCAUGGGAGCCGAGGGCGCUUGAAGUGCGUCGCCGCGAGGCGCGCCCUAGAGCGAAAUCGGUGACUGGGGCUAAGUCGUAACAAGGUAAC
rnacentral:rRNA from 1 species